GGAGGCCCAAGAUGGCGGCGCACUGGGAGCGUAACAUCUGCGUUUCUAGGAUCUUCGCGCAGCGGGUGGUUAAGACUCCGGGGUUGUAGAGGUCCACACUAUACUAGUCGUCUGGCAGGAACUUUGACUUCAGAGGAAACUUCCCGACCCAGGGAUCGAACCCAUGUCUCCUACAUUGUAUACAGACGCUUUACUGUCUGAACUACCAGGAAAGCGGAGGCGGUUUAGAGAGAUCCAAAACUGAGGCGGGAAGACAGUAUGAGGGGGUAAGGUGAGCACGUGAAAGGAGUGGAAGAGAUGGAGAACUGGCAAUGGC
ensembl:lncRNA